UGGAAGCGUCUGGAAAGGCGCGCGAUACAGGGUGACAGCCCCGUACACAAAAAUGCACAUAUUGUGAGCUCGAUGAGUAGGGCGGGACACGUGGUAUCCUGUCUGAAUAUGGGGGGCCCAUCCUCCAAGGCUAAAUACUCCUGACUGACCGAUAGUGAACCAGUACCGUGAGGGAAAGGCGAAAAGAACCCCGGCGAGGGGAGUGAAAAAGAACCUGAAACCGUGUACGUACAAGCAGUGGGAGCACGCUUAGGCGUGUGACUGCGUACCUUUUGUAUAAUGGGUCAGCGACUUAUAUUCUGUAGCAAGGUUAACCGAAUAGGGGAGCCGAAGGGAAACCGAGUCUUAACUGGGCGUUAAGUUGCAGGGUAUAGACCCGAAACCCGGUGAUCUAGCCAUGGGCAGGUUGAAGGUUGGGUAACACUAACUGGAGGACCGAACCGACUAAUGUUGAAAAAUUAGCGGAUGACUUGUGGCUGGGGGUGAAAGGCCAAUCAAACCGGGAGAUAGCUGGUUCUCCCCGAAAGCUAUUUAGGUAGCGCCUCGUGAAUUCAUCUCCGGGGGUAG
rnacentral:rRNA from 1 species